UACUUACUUCCUCCGUCACAAAAUUCUUGUCUUAGAUUUGUCUGUAUAUGAAUGUAUCAAGUCACAUUUUAGUUUUUAGAUGCAUUCAUUUCUAAACAAACUUAAGACAAGAAUUAUGGGACGGAGGGAGUAUUAG
rfam:Hordeum vulgare subsp. vulgare, WGS project CAJW01000000 data, contig: morex_contig_207352